GAUGAACGCUGGCGGCGUGCCUAAUACAUGCAAGUCGAGCGAACGGACGAGAAGCUUGCUUCUCUGAUGUUAGCGGCGGACGGGUGAGUAACACGUGGAUAACCUACCUAUAAGACUGGGAUAACUUCGGGAAACCGGAGCUAAUACCGGAUAAUAUUUUGAACCGCAUGGUUCAAAAGUGAAAGACGGUCUUGCUGUCACUUAUAGAUGGAUCCGCGCUGCAUUAGCUAGUUGGUAAGGUAACGGCUUACCAAGGCAACGAUGCAUAGCCGACCUGAGAGGGUGAUCGGCCACACGGGAGCUGAGACACGGUCCAGACGCCUACGGGAGGCAGCAGUAGGGAAUCUGCCGCAAUGGGCGAAAGCCUGACGGAGCAACGCCGCGUGAGUGAUGAAGGUCUUCGGAUCGUAAAACUCUGUUAUUAGGGAAGAACAUAUUUGUAAGUAACUGAGCACAUCUUGACGGCACCUAAUCAGAAAGCCACGGCUAACUACGUG
rnacentral:rRNA from 1 species